GACGAACGCUGGCGGCGUGCCUAAUACAUGCAAGUCGAACGAGUGGCGGACGGGUGAGUAACACGUGGGAACCUACCCAUCAGAGGGGGAUAACACUUGGAAACAGGUGCUAAUACCGCAUACUGAUGGAUGAACCCGCGGUGCAUUAGCUAGUUGGGGGGGUAAAGGCUCACCUAGGCGACGAUCGCUAGCUGGUCUGAGAGGUUGAUCAGCCACACUGGGAAUGAGACACGGCCCAGACUCCUACGGGAGGCAGCAGUGGGGAAUAUUGCAAAAUGGGGGCAAGCCUGAUGCAGCCAUGCCGGGUGUAUGAAGAAGGCCUUAGGGUUGUAAAGUACUUUCAGCGGGGCGGCGUUACCCGCAGAAGAAGCACCGGCUAACUCCGUGCCAGCAGCCGCGGUAAUUC
rnacentral:rRNA from 1 species